AAGGACCAUGAUUGGACAAGGAGUUCGUCCUAGGGGACACCGUCCCGACAUCCAUUGAGAAAUUGAUUUUACUGAAAUUAAACCAGGUAUAUAUGGAUACAAGUAUCUCCUAGUGUUUGUAGACACCUUCUCAGGAUGGGUCGAAGCCUUCCCCACAAAACACGAGACUACAAAAAUGGUCACCAAGAAGCUCCUUGAGGAAAUCUUUCCCAGGUAUGACAUGCCUCAAGCGUUGGGGUCGGACAACGGGCCCGCUUUCGUCUCCCAAGUAAGUCAGUUGGUGGCCAAAUUGCUGGGGAUUGAUUAAAAAUUACAUUGUGCCUAUAGACCCCAGAGUUCAGGUCAGGUAAAACACAUAAAUAAAACAAUUAAAGAGACUUUAUCCAAACUUACGCUUACAACUGGCUCAAAGGAUUGGGUGGCCCUCCUUCCCCUAGUUCUAUAUCGGGCCCGGAAUACCCCGGGCCCCCAUGGUCUAACUCCUUUUAAAAUAAUAUAUAGAACACCACCCCCAUUUGUCCAUUUCUUUGAUUCAAACAUUGCUGAUUUUGCUGACAGCCCUUCUCUGAGGGCCCAUUUACAGGCCCUACAGAUUGUACAGAGAGACGUCUGGAGACCAUUGGCUGCUGCUUACCAGGACGAGCUUGAGCAUCUGGUGGUGCCACACCCGUUCCAGAUUAGAGACACCGUGUGGGUGCACAGACACCAGACCAAGAAUCUCGAGCCACGGUGGAAAGGACCCUACACCGUCCUCCUGACUACCCCGACCGCCCUAAAGGUAGACGGAGUCGCGGCUUAGAUCCACACAUCACACGUCAAGGCAGUCCGGUCUGAGGAAUUGACUAAUCACAACACUACACCCCAGACAUGGAGAGUUCAGCACACUCCAAACCCCUUAAAGUUAAAACUCCUACGUGGCUCCUCCUAGCCCUUUUGUGGCCUAGAGUCAGUGGGGAAAUAAGCCCCCACCAGACAGAAAUUUCUUGACCAAGUCGAGUGAAAGAUUUCACUCAAAGUUAGCAAAAAAAAAAAAAAAUGGGGGAAUGAAAGACCCCAGCUUAGCAGCAGUAACGCCAUUUUACAAGGCUGUACUUAAGAUGACUGGUUCAGAGAAAGGUUAGAACACUGAGUACACAGCGGCUGCCAAGCAAGAUGUGUUUGGUUGAAGGCCUGGCAACAGGACGACUGCAGUUGAGCACCUGACAAUGAGAAAAGCCCCGGGAGAGGUUCCACACCCUGGUGGGGGGCCGAGUCAGUCGUUAUGUUCCAAGAAGGUAGCUAAGAAACUUGCCCCCGGGCUGAACCCUUGGGGGGCCGAGUCAGCCGUUAUGUUUCUGGAAGGUAGCUAGGAAACUUGCCCCCGGGCUAAACCCUUGCCAUAUUAGAAUCCACCAAUUAUAUCCCUGUAACCAUGCAUCUGCUUCUGUAUGCUUGCUUCUGCUCCCCAAAAUCCUAUAAAAGCCCAUCCUUGGUUCCGUGGGGCGCGCCAGUCCCCCGAGUGACUGAAGCGCCCGCAGGUGCCUGUGCCUGUGUAUCCCGACAAUAAACCAAAUCCUCUUGCUGAUUGCA